CAGCCGCCGCGGUAAUACGUAGGUGGCGAGCGUUGUCCGGAAUGACUGGGCGUAAAGGGUGCGUAGGCGGCUUGUCAAGUUAGAAGUGAAAUACCCGGGCUCAACCCGGGUGCUACUUCUAAGACUGAUGAGCUUGAGUGUGGGAGAGGUAAGCGGAAUUCCUAGUGUAGCGGUGGAAUGCGUAGAUAUUAGGAGGAACACCGGCGGCGAAGGCGGCUUACUGGACCAUAACUGACGCUGAGGCACGAAAGCGUGGGGAGCAAACAGGAUUAGAUACCCUGGUAGUCCACGCCGUAAACGAUGGAUACUAGGUGUAGGGGGUUUCGACGCCCUCUGUGCCGUCGCAAACGCAUUAAGUAUCCCGCCUGGGGAGUACGGCCGCAAGGUUAAAACUCAAAGGAAUUGACGGGGACCCGCACAAGCAGCGGAGCAUGUGGUUUAAUUCGAAGCAACGCGAAGAACCUUACCAAGGCUUGACAUCCCCUGCAUAGUGUGGAAACACAUGAAAUCGUGGGCAACCACGACAGGGAGACAGGUGGUGCAUGGCC
rnacentral:rRNA from 1 species